AUUAAGCCAUGCAAGUGUUAGUUCAGGUAACGAAACUGCGAAUAGCUCAUUAAUACGCUCAGAAUCUAUUUGGCGGCGACCAACAGGUCUUAAAUGGAUAGCAGCAGCAACUCUGGUGCUAAUACAUGCGAUUGUUUCUCCAGAUGUGAAUUAUGGAGGAAAAGUUGACCUCAUCAGAGGCACGCCAUUCGACUGAGUGACCUAUCAGCUUGUACUUAGGGUCUUUACCUAGGUAGGCUAUCACGGGUAACGGGCGGUUACCGUCGGACUGCCGGAGAAGGCGCCUGAGAGAUAGCGACUAUAUCCACGGGUAGCAGCAGGCGCGAAACUUUCCCACUCGAGACUUUCGGAGGAGGUAAUGACCAGUUCCAUUGGUGCCUUUUGGUACUGUGGAUAGGGGUACGGUUUUCCACCGUACCGAAACCUAGCAGAGGGCCAGUCUGGUGCCAGCAGCUGCGGUAAUUCCAGCUCUGCGAGUUUGCUCCCAUAUUGUUGCAGUUAAAACGCCCGUAGUCUGAAUUGGCCAGCAAUGGUCGUACGUAUUUUUACGUUCACUGUGAACAAAUCAGGACGCUUAGAGUAUGGCCACAUGAAUGACUCAGCGCAGUAUGAAGUCUUUGUUUUCUUCCGAAAACAAGCUCAAUGAGAGCCAUCGGGGGUAGAUCUAUCUCAUGACGAGUGGUGGAAUACUUUGACUCAUGAGAGAGAAGCUGAGGCGAAGGCGUCUACCUAGAGGGUUUCUGUCGAUCAAGGGCGAGAGUAGGAGUAUCCAACAGGAUUAGAGACCCUGGUAGUUCCUACCUUAAACGAUGCCGACAGGAGUUUGUCAUUUGUUAAUGGCAGAAUCUUUGGAGAAAUCAUAGUUCUUGGGCUCUGGGGGAACUACGACCGCAGGCUGAACUUGAAGAUU
rfam:Trichomonas vaginalis G3, whole genome shotgun sequence.